rnacentral:lncRNA from 1 species
CCGUGCUUAUUGAGUGCCUGAAUUUCAUCUCGUAGCAGCGAUGUUCUUACAAAGCGUACAAUGUAAUAGCAUCUCUUCAACCAACAGAAACAGCUUUUGAUGUCAGAUUGGACACUACUUUUGUUUUUGCCAAAGGUCAGAGUCCAACUUGCAACUUCUACUAUUUUCUAGGUGAGUAACCUGAGGUAAAUAACUCUGUAUGUUACUUGUGGGGGAAAUAAAAGUAACUUUUAUGUGCCAGGCUGUAGCACAUAAGCAAGAUUGCAUGUACCCAAUGCCUGGCACGGUAACAGGGCGGUAGGAGAAACAAUGUGAAAAUAAUGUAGUCACAUCAAGAAGAUAUAAUAUUUGUGUUUGCCAAGUUCACGAAAGUGGGAAGAGUGAGAGCUGAAGUGCUUUAUGGUGGGUGUAUCCAGUUAUAGUUAAAUCUCAAAACAGAAUUUCUAUGUGAGGUAUAAGUGGGAUUUUCACCAAAACUCGAUCUGAGGCCAGGCGCAGGGUCAAAUCCAGCUGCCUCAGGCUUCUAUGCUCUACGGUCUUCAAAUCUCCAAGCCUGUCCAUCUGCGUGAAACUGCCAGAGUACAGGGAAGCCCCGCGGCGGUGGCCCAGGCUGAGCAGAAGGCGCGCGGUUUUCAGAUGGCGGCGGCUGCAGGGAGAGCUGCUGCAGGUUCUGACUGUCGGCCUGAGAGUGCUUCGCAAGGACGCUAUCGUCCCCAGGCGCUGGCGAGGCAGGCAACGAAGAGGAAGGAGAGGGAGGCCUGGACCCCCAGAGAGCGGAGCGAGCAGAUCUCCUUUGGCCUGCAGAGGAGGACCGGGAGGCUCGGCCGCGGCGAGCG